rnacentral:rRNA from 1 species
GACGAACGCUGGCGGCGUGCCUAAUACAUGCAAGUUGAGCGCUGAAGGUUGGUACUUGUACCAACUGGAUGAGCAGCGAACGGGUGAGUAACGCGUGGGGAAUCUGCCUUUGAGCGGGGGACAACAUUUGGAAACGAAUGCUAAUACCGCAUAAAAACUUUAAAAAAAAGUUUUAAGUUUGAAAGAUGCAAUUGAUUCAUUAAAAGAUGAUCCCGCGUUGUAUUAGCUAGUUGGUGAGGUAAAGGCUCACCAAGGCGAUGAUACAUAGCCGACCUGAGAGGGUGAUCGGCCACAUUGGGACUGAGACACGGCCCAAACUCCUACGGGAGGCAGCAGUAGGGAAUCUUCGGCAAUGGACGAAAGUCUGACCGAGCAACGCCGCGUGAGUGAAGAAGGUUUUCGGAUCGUAAAACUCUGUUGGUAGAGAAGAACGUUGGUGAGAGUGGAAAGCUCAUCAAGUGACGGUAACUACCCAGAAAGGGACGGCUAACUACGUG